GGUCCAAGCGAGCUCACGUCCCACUAACAGAAUGCAUUUUCGAGCUUCCUAAUUUGACAGUUCAAGCAACUAGAGCUCAAACCCUUCUGCUUCAAACUAUUUAUCAGAGCUGGUGUCAUCCUGUUGGAAAUGUCAGUUCUGUGGUGGUAAAUGAAGCUUUGCUGAAUGAGGUUUUCCAAACUUCAGGUGUGAAAUCUAAGAAUCCCCUGCCAACUCUUGAGGGCUCAAUCCAGAAUGUUGAAUUGAAGUACUGCAGCACAUCAUUGGUCAAAUGUGCCUCUGGGACCGUGGGAUCAAUAAAAAUUUGUGCCAAAGCCCCAGGUGACGGUGGAAAGGAGAAGCUGAUUCCUUUAAUUCAAGGCCCUUCUGAUACCAGAGACUUACACAGCAGUAAAUGGCUCAAUGAGAGUAGAAAGCCAGAAUCUCUGCUAGCUCCAGAUUUGGUAGCCUUUACAAUCCAAAUUCCACAGUGUAUGGACUACUGCCAUAAUUCUGGU